rnacentral:rRNA from 1 species
UACGUAGGGGGCAAGCGUUAUCCGGAUUUACUGGGUGUAAAGGGAGCGUAGACGGAUUGAUAAGUUAGAGGUGAAAUGUCCGAGCUCAACUCGGGAACUGCCUCUAAUACUGUUGAUCUAGAGAGUAGAUGCGGUAGGCGGAAUGUAUGGUGUAGCGGUGAAAUGCUUAGAGAUCAUACAGAACACCGAUUGCGAAGGCAGCUUACCAAUCUAUAUCUGACGUUGAGGCACGAAAGCGUGGGGAGCAAACAGG